UACGUAGGGGGCUAGCGUUGUCCGGAAUCAUUGGGCGUAAAGCGCGUGUAGGCGGUUCGGUAAGUCCGCUGUGAAAGUCGGGGGCUCAACCCUCGAAAGCCGGUGGAUACUGUCGGACUAGAGUGCGGAAGAGGCGAGUGGAAUUCCUGGUGUAGCGGUGAAAUGCGCAGAUAUCAGGAGGAACACCGGUGGCGAAGGCGGAUCUCUGGGCCAUUACUGACGCUGAGGAGCGAAAGCGUGGGGGAGCGAACAGG
rnacentral:rRNA from 1 species